UAGGGAAUCUUCCGCAAUGGACGCAAGUCUGACGGAGCAACGCCGCGUGAGUGAAGAAGGAUUUCGGUUCGUAAAACUCUGUUGUUAGAGAAGAACAGCGCAUAGAGUAACUGUUAUGCGUGUGACGGUAUCUAACCAGAAAGCCACGGCUAACUACGUGCCAGCAGCCGCGGUAAUACGUAGGUGGCAAGCGUUGUCCGGAUUUAUUGGGCGUAAAGCGAGCGCAGGCGGUCAAUUAAGUCUGAUGUGAAAGCCCCCGGCUCAACCGGGGAGGGUCAUUGGAAACUGGUUGACUUGAGUGCAGAAGAGGGGAGUGGAAUUCCAUGUGUAGCGGUGAAAUGCGUAGAUAUAUGGAGGAACACCAGGGGCGAAGGCGACUCUCUGGUCUGUAACUGACGCUGAGGUUCGAAAGCGUGGGUAGCAAACAGG
rnacentral:rRNA from 1 species